GGUUUGUGGCUCAGUGGUAGAGUGCUUGUCUCUCAUGCAUGAGGCACUGGGUUAGAUCCUCAACACCA
rnacentral:tRNA from 1 species